rnacentral:tRNA from 1 species
CAGGGAGACAAAUAAUUGAUUGUGAUGUCUGAGCAAUAUGUUCUUAGGCCGCAAUCCUGUCACCUUAGGUCGAUCGGUACCUCAGAUUUAUGAAUUAAUUUUAUAAUUAAGUCAUUAAUUUCAGUUCCUAAACUUGUCUAGGUCACACCCAACAAGGGUUUCUCCUGGGCCAUUAGCUCAGGUGGUUAGAGCGCACCCCUGAUAAGGGUGAGGUCCCUGGUUCAAGUCCAGGAUGGCCCAUUCGUUGUUGGGGGUAUAGCUCAGUUGGUAGAGCGCCUGCUUUGCAAGCAGGAUGUCAGCGGUUCGAGUCCGCUUACCUCCACUGAAACCUACCCUGAUAACUAAUCGGGAGAAAAUUUAGAUUGUGAUUUAGAUUUGUCUACUACUUAAGAACCUAGCUUCUUAUCAUCUUCAAUAAAGUUGAUAAUAUGCUGGGCUCUCAUGGCAAAUUCCAUGUGAUUUCAGUAGAACCUUGAAAACUGCAUAGAUAGAAAGAAUAAAGCAUCUCAUGGAUGCAUAAUUCUGAAUUAAAUAUUUAGUGAAAAGCUAAAUAUAUGAUUCAAGAAUUCAUGUUUAAUUCUUGAGUAAAAGCCGAGCACAAUUUAUUUUGUGAUUGUAUUUAA